rnacentral:snoRNA from 1 species
CAGCAGUGUUGAGGAGCACGAAUCACUACACAACAUGCUAGAGAAAACAAGGAGUUUUCAGGGCUGCCAGUCUUGCAGUGAAGGCUGAGUGGUAGUAUAGGUCUCCAACAUCC